rnacentral:rRNA from 1 species
GUUUAUACUCAAAUGAAUGACGGGGGCCCGCACAAGCGGUGGAGCAUGUGGUUUAAUUCGAUGCAACGCGAAGAACCUUACCUACUCUUGACAUCCAGCGAAUCCUUUAGAGAUAGAGGAGUGCCUUCGUGAACGCUGAGACAGGUGCUGCAUGGCUGUCGUCAGCUCGUGUUGUGAAAUGUUGGGUUAAGUCCCGCAACGAGCGCAACCCUUAUCCUUUGUUGCCAGCACGUAAUGGUGGGAACUCAAAGGAGACUGCCGGUGAUAAACCGGAGGAAGGUGGGGAUGACGUCAAGUCAUCAUGGCCCUUACGAGUAGGGCUACACACGUGCUACAAUGGCAGAUACAAAGAGAAGCGACCUCGCGAGAGCAAGCGGAACUCAUAAAGUCUGUCGUAGUCCGGAUGGAGUCUGCAACUCGACUCCAUGAAGUCGGAAUCGCUAGUAAUCGAGAUACAAAUGCGACUGAGUGGGCCCGAAACACCAUUAA